UGGGCCCAACGAGCGGCCGUGCAUAAGCAACAAUAUCGGUUCCUUUAAAGGAUAAAGCCGACUAAAGGACGAUUCGUAAUCCGCUCCAAAGCGAUCCCCGACCUACUGUCCGCCAGCCACACGCAGCUUGCUUGUUCUUGUCAACUAAUAGUUGGCAGAAGAACAAGUCGCACGGUUGGUGGUAAGCUGCAUACUUCUCUAUAGCAAUUGCAGUAACUCAGAGCUUUAAAUCGCAAAGAUCUGAGGGGCAGUGCCAUCGCGCCCGUCAUCUUGAGACAUAAGUUUCGGUCAGUAGCAUUGGGUCAAUGGCCAGUAGUGAAUAUUUCUAAUAAUUCAUUUUUUUAAGACAAAUUAAAUGUAUCAUCUUGUCUUAUCAUCAGAUAUUGUAAUCAAACAUCAUAAACCUUUUAAGUAAAAAUAGAUGAGGUAAUGUCAAAUCUACUAAAACAAAGCUAACAACCCCAGUUCCAGUCACGCAGUCCAUCGCUCUUACACGGACGCGUUCAUUUAUGAGGUAAACAAAGAAUUUAUUGACGUCGUAUAAUUUUAUGUUCUAAACAAAGGCUCGUCAGGCGCCCCCUUCGCGCCCCAUGCACCACCCCUCUCCCACCCGCACCCGCUGGGCUGCACUUGUUCACCAACAUAUGUCUACAAGUGUAUUUGUUUAUGCUUCCCAUGUUUAGAAUAAUAUACCUUUCGUUCAUCAAAUAAAUCAGGACGUCGAUAUGGAGGUUCAACAAAGGGUACCAAUUUUUACAUUUCUAUCUUUAAAUAAUACAUAUUAAGAGAAAACAAUUAAGUUAUUCACUUUCUAUUUAUUUUCUGAUCUUGGCGGGCCCUGCGUUUGUACAUUGGUGCUAGACAACAAGGUUUCGGGUUGAGUAGGACAUACUUUUCUAAAUUGAAUCUGGUCUGGGGGUUGAAUGCCCUAGUUUGAGAUCAGGUAAUUUUUAAUAUUUUUAUUCAGCCCUUUCAAGCAUCGAGACGUUGCGCAACAAAAAUAGAAAGUGGUAAGUAGGUCGUUCGAUAAAUAAAGUCAAAUGAAAUGCACGAGUCGUAUAUAAAUUGAAUAUUGGUAAACACAAUAAAGCCAUGAGAGCACAAUUUUUCAAUGUUACAGCACAAAGCGGUGUUAAAAUCAAUUGGUCAAAGUCAUUUCGUGCAUUCAUCUGCCGGUGUGCGCGUGGAGACGUCUUUUGAGCUCCAUUGUCGCGUCGGACUCCCACUGUGAUGUCGCCGACGUCGCUCCGCCCGUCAAACCCGAAAAUCGGUUCCCAGAAAAGAAUUACCUAUUGCCGUUAACGUUUGCAGAUUAUCUCACGAGCGUAGAGGCUACGGAGAAGUAGUAAGUACCGUUUAGGUCAACGGUGCCAACAUCUUAAAGUCAUAAAACUAGAUUGCAGAUGUCCUAAGGAAAGUAGAACGCGAGAUCCAAUCCGAGUUUGCAAACAAGGGAAGUUACAGCGGUGGCGCGUUGCGGGCGCUGCGUUGCCGCCGCCGUUGCCACCGCCGCGCCGGCGCGCCUCCGCCCGUGUCGCACGCCGCGACUCGGCAAAUAAGUACGGCCCACGCCGAUAAGACGCCGUCUCCUGUGACUUCUAUUUAAACAGACAGGAAAACGCU